CUGUGAUUUUUUUUUUUGCUUUUGCACUGAAGUUGUGACUCUUGCAAAUGUUUUCAACCCUAAAACUAAGCCCUUAUUUUCUUUUGCUGACAUAUAUUUAGCAAUGGUCUGUUAACAUCAAUGUAUAUCUAAAGGUAAAUGGAGUAAAAUGGUGCAUUUCCAUGAAAGCAACAUCUGAUCAUGGAGUAAAUACAUCCCAAAAUACAUAAAACUCAUGCUGGAUUUUAAAAAAAGCAUUGUGAACAAAAACUUGAAGUUACUCCCAACUGUUCGGUCUGUAAUGGCCUUGCUUCCAAACUUU